AUGCAUAAAACAAUUGACUCUGCUAAAAAGGCUGAGGCCACCAUGGCAUUAGCUAUCACUGAACACUGUUCCAUGCUAGCAUGUGAUCACAUUGGAGAAGCAUGUAGAGCUGCUUUCUCAGACUCCACUGCUGCUACCCAUUUCAAGAUGCACAGGACAAAGUGCACAGAAAUGAUUAAUGGUGUUCUAGCACCAUACUUUAUGAAAAAGUUGGUUGCAGAUGUGGGUGACCAGCAUUUCAGCCUCCUCCUCGAUGAGUCCACUGAUAUAAGUGUUUCUAAAUACCUGGGGGUUGUGAUAAGGUACUUUAGUGACACCAAGCAGACAAUUGUCUCAACAUUUCUGGGGCUUGUUGAAUUGGAGGGAGGAGAUGCCAGAUCUAUAGCCCGUGCUGUUGUAGCUUUCCUCGAGAAGUGUGGUCUUAAAAAAGAGAAACUCCUGGGGAUAGGGACUGACAAUGCCUCUGUUAUGACAGGGAUUAACAAUGGGGUCCAUAAAGUCCUGAAGGAAGAGUAUGGCCUCAAAGAUCUGAUUCUUAUUCGCUUUGUGUGCCACUCUCUGCAGCUUGCUGUAAGUCAUGUUUCCAAUGACACCAUCCCCCGUAGUGUGGAAUACUUGGUACGAGAGACUUAUAACUGGUUUUCAGUGUCUCCAAAGCGCAGGGAGGCCUACAAGGCCAUAUAUGAGACCAUCAACUGUGGGGAAAAACCUUUACAGAUUACCAAGGUCUGUGCCACACGUUGGCUCUCCAUUGAACCUGUAGUUUCACGCAUUUUGGACCAGUGGGGGGAGCUUAGGCUGCAUUUCUCGGUUACCAAGUCCAGUGAACACUGCUACAUGGCUGAGGUUUUAUAUUCCAUGUAUAGUGAUCCUCAAAACAUUUUGUAUCUGACUUUUUUGAAGUCAGUGCUGGGUGAGGUACAGUUGGCCAUCAAGGCAUUUGAGGGAGAGCAAAUAGAUCCUCUUAAGCUUCUUGACAGCUUAGUUAGCCUGAUCAAGUCUGUGAGCAGCAGGGUGCUGAAUCCACUUGCAAAUAUUGAUGUACUCAAAGGGCCAAUAGAUGGAUACAUCAGUCCCAAACCGUACCUUGGUUACCUUUUUGAGUCAAAGGCAGCUGAGCUCCACCUUGUGCCGGAGGAUGAAAAAAAUGUCCUAAAGCGGUGUGUAGCCUUCACCAUCUCUCUCACUAAUGAGUUGAGGGUGAGACUGCCGGACAACAUCGAAGCAUUGCAGUACAUGUCAGUUUUUAAUGUGGAGGAAACUUUAAAGCACAGUAAGAGCCCUGGAGAAAUAGAAAAAAUAGCCAAGCUCCUCGGCUACUCCCCUGCAGAGAUAGACAAGAUUAUCCAGCAAUGGCGUGCCAUCCAUCUUAGUAAAUGGAAUAAGACAAAAAACACACUGGGUUUCUGGAGUGAGAUUUGGAAGUUCAGAGAUGCAGCUGAUAUCAACCCGUUUCAAGAACUUGCCAUGGCUGCUGUGUCCAUGUUGUCCUUACCACACUCGAAUGCUGAAGUCGAGACAGUGUUCAGCCAGAUGAGUGUGGUAAAAAGCAAGCUAAGAAAUCGGAUGUCCUUGCAGACCCUUAACUCCAUCCUGUACAUUAGAUAUGGACUGAAGCUGUCUGGUGAGGCUUGCUAUGAGCACCAGCUGCCUGAUAAUGUUUUGCAGCUUUUCGCCACAUCAGCUGCUUACUCAUUUAAGUCAGCUCCCUCAGUUGCUGAACCUGCCACAGAAAGCCUUGACCAAAAUGACGAUGACCCACUCUUUCUGUGA
ensembl:lncRNA